UUGGAGGGCAAGUCUGGUGCCAGCAGCCGCGGUAAUUCCAGCUCCAAUAGCGUAUAUUAAAGUUGUUGCAGUUAAAAAGCUCGUAGUUGAAUUUCGGGAUCAGUACGCUGGUCAUGCCUUUGGUAUGCACUGGUGUCACUGGUUUCUCCCCUCUGAAGAUCCGUGAUGUCAUUAAUUUGGUGUCGCGGGGAAUCUGGACUGUUACUUUGAAAAAAUUAGAGUGUUUAAAGCAGGCUCACGCUUGAAUACAUUAGCAUGGAGUAAUGAAAUAGGACGUUUGACCCUAUUUUGUUGGUUUCUAGGAUCGACGUAAUGAUUAAUAGGGAUAGUUGGGGGCAUUAGUAUUCAAUUGUCAGAGGUGAAAUUCUUGGAUUUAUUGAAGACUAACUACUGCGAAAGCAUUUGCCAAGGAUGUUUUCAUUAAUCAAGAACGAAAGUUAGGGGAUCGAAGACGAUCAGAUACCGUCGUAGUCUUAACCAUAAACUAUGCCGACUAGGGAUCGGAUGAUGUUAAUUUUAUAAUGACUCAUUCGGCGCCUUACGGGAAACCAAAGUGUUUGGGUUC
rnacentral:rRNA from 1 species